rnacentral:rRNA from 1 species
UACAGAGGUCUCAAGCGUUGUUCGGAUUCAUUGGGCGUAAAGGGUGCGUAGGCGGCGCGGUAAGUCGGGUGUGAAAUUUCGAGGCUUAACUUCGAAACUGCAUUCGAUACUGCCGUGCUUGAGGACUGGAGAGGAGACUGGAAUUUACGGUGUAGCGGUGAAAUGCGUAGAUAUCGUAAGGAAGACCAGUGGCGAAGGCGUCUCUGGACAGUUCCUGACGCUGAGGCACGAAGGCCAGGGGAGCAAACGGG